rnacentral:rRNA from 1 species
CAGUCGAGCGAUGACGAGGAGCUUGCUCCUCUGAUUUAGCGGCGGACGGGUGAGUAACACGUGGGCAACCUGCCCUGCAGACUGGGAUAACUUCGGGAAACCGGAGCUAAUACCGGAUAAUCCAUUUUACUUCAUGGUGAAAUGUUGAAAGGCGCUUUCGCGCCACUGCAGGAUGGGCCCGCGGUGCAUUAGCUAGUUGGUGGGGUAACGGCCUACCAAGGCGACGAUGCAUAGCCGACCUGAGAGGGUGAUCGGCCACAUUGGGACUGAGACACGGCCCAAACUCCUACGGGAGGCAGCAGUAGGGAAUCUUCCACAAUGGACGAAAGUCUGAUGGAGCAACGCCGCGUGAGUGAUGAAGGUUUUCGGAUCGUAAAACUCUGUUGUAAGGGAAGAACAAGUACGUUAGGAAAUGAACGUACCUUGACGGUACCUUAUUAGAAAGCCACGGCUAACUACGUGCCAGCAGCCGCGGUAAUACGUAGGUGGCAAGCGUUGUCCGGAUUUAUUGGGCGUAAAGCGCGCGCAGGUGGUUUCUUAAGUCUGAUGUGAAAUCUCGCGGCUCAACCGCGAGCGGUCAUUGGAAACUGGGGAACUUGAGUGCAGAAGAGGAUAGUGGAAUUCCAAGUGUAGCGGUGAAAUGCGUAGAGAUUUGGAGGAACACCAGUGGCGAAGGCGACUGUCUGGUCUGUAACUGACACUGAGGCGCGAAAGCGUGGGG